AUGUGAUAAUGCCGGGGAAGGUUUUCCGGUUUAUCCCGGAGGGCUUGUAGCUCAGUUGGUUAGAGCGCGCGCUUGAUAAGCGUGAGGUCGGAGGUUCAAGUCCUCCCAGGCCCACCAAUUAUCCAUCCAUAGAAAAGCGCUUAGAAAGUUUGACUGUUAACAGGUCAACGUUGUUUUGUAGGACGCCAAUAUUGUCUUGAAAAAGAGCUUUCUUGUAAAGUUUGAGAAAACUUGUUUAUCGCUUUUUGUAAGAUGUGGUGUUUGUCUGCUUUUAAAGCGAUCGAAACUGAAAGUGUUUCAAAGAUAAGAGUCUUGGAACAGAAGAGUCUUGGAAUAGAAAAGAAUAUAAAGUCUAGGUGGUAUUACAUAGUCUAGAGUUAAAUUGUUCAUGAUUGGAACAUUUCAUAUUGAAAUGCUGCGAUAUAAAGGUUUCGAAUAAAUUAUUCCGUUUUGGGGCCGUAGCUCAGCUGGGAGAGCACCUGCUUUGCAAGCAGGGGGUCGUCGGUUCGAUCCCGUCCGGCUCCACCAUUUGGUCAUCAUCAUUGUU
rnacentral:tRNA from 1 species